rnacentral:rRNA from 1 species
UCGGGACUGAGACACUGCCCGGACCUCCACGGAGGGCUGCAGUAACGAAUAUUGUGCAAUGGGCGAAAGCCUGACACAGCGACGCCGCGUGUAGGAUGAAGCCCCUCGGGGUGUAAACUACUGUCAGGGGUUAGAAAGUCUUCGGAUUGAUCAGCCCCAGAGGAAGUCACGGCUAACUUCGUGCCAGCAGCCGCGGUAAUACGAAGGUGGCAAGCGUUGUUCGGAAUCACUGGGCCUAAAGCGCGCGCAGGCGGAAAUACAGGUGUCAUGUGAAAGCCCUCGGCUUAACCGAGGAAUUGCGUGGCAAACGGUAUUUCUUGAGGCAAGUAGGGGUACAUGGAACUCUUGGUGGAGCGGUGGAAUGCGUAGAUAUCAAGAGGAACGCCAAAGGUGAAGACAGUGUACUGGGCUUGUCCUGACGCUGAGGUGCGAAAGCGUGGGGAGCGAACGGGAUUAGAUACCCCGGUAGUCCACGCUGCAAACGAUGUCUACUAGGUUGCGGGGGUUCUGACGCCGUCGCAGUCGUAGCAAAAGUGUUAAGUAGACCGCCUGGGGAGUACGGUCGCAAGGCUAAAACUCAAAGGAAUUGACGGGGGCUCACACAAGCGGUGGAGCAUGUGGAUUAAUUCGAAGCAACGCGCAGAACCUUACCUGGGUUUGACAUGCAUGUAUGCUUUCCGGGAAACUGGUUAAGCUGCCUUCGGGUGAAACUUGCACAGGUGCUGCAUGGCUGUCGUCAGCUCGUGUCGUGAGAUGUCGGGUUAAGUCCUUUAACGAGCGAAACCCUUGCCGUUAGUUGCCAGCGAGUAAUGUCGGGGACUCUAACGGGACUGCCGGUGUUAAACCGGAGGAAGGUGGGGAUGACGUCAAGUCCUCAUGGCCUUUAUGCCCAGGGCUUCACACGUGCUACAAUGGUCACUACAGAGCGACGCGAUACCGCGAGGUGGAGCAAAUCGCAAAAAGUGGCCUCAGUUCGGAUUGCAGGCUGGCAACUCGCCUGCAUGAAGUUGGAAUCGCUAGUAAUCGCGUAUCAGCUACGACGCGGUGAAUGUGUUCCUGAGCCUUGUACACACCGCCCGUCAAGUGAUGGGAGUCGGGAGUACCCGAAGUCGGAUUGCUAACCCCUCGGGGAGGCGUCUGCCGACGGUAAGCUCGAUGACUGGCACUAAGUCGUAACAAGGUAGCCG